GAAGGUGGCUAGCGUUAUUCGGAUUCACUGGGCAUAAAGCGCGCGUAGGCGGCUCUUCAAGUCGGAGGUGAAAGCCUGCAGCUCAACUGCGGAACUGCCUUCGAUACUGUCGAGCUUGAGUGCAGGAGGGGUGAUCGGAACUCCAGGUGUAGCGGUGAAAUGCGUAGAUAUCUGGAGGAACACCGGAGGCGAAGGCGGAUCACUGGACUGCCACUGACGCUGAGGCGCGAAAGCUAGGGGAGCAAACAGGAUUAGAUACCCUGGUAGUCCUAGCUGUAAACGAUGGGUACUAGGCAGUGGGGGCCCGAUGCCCUCGCUGUCGAAGCGAAUGUGCUAAGUACCCCGCCUGGGGAGUACGGCCGCAAGGCUGAA
rnacentral:rRNA from 1 species